AAACCACGAUAAGGGAAUUGAGACCAAUAGCCCUUGAACCUCGCCCAUGCUUCACUGAAGCUCUCUAGACCUUUCUGUUGAAACCGGAGAUUUCUUUCCUGAUCUU
rfam:Brassica napus, WGS project CCCW01000000 data, contig: 9626